rnacentral:rRNA from 1 species
UGCAGUCGAGCGGUAAGGCCUUUCGGGGUACACGAGCGGCGAACGGGUGAGUAACACGUGGGUGAUCUGCCCUGCACUCUGGGAUAAGCCUGGGAAACUGGGUCUAAUACCGGAUAUGACCUGCUCUCGCAUGGGGGUGGGUGGAAAGAUUUAUCGGUGCAGGAUGGGCCCGCGGCCUAUCAGCUUGUUGGUGGGGUAAUGGCCUACCAAGGCGACGACGGGUAGCCGACCUGAGAGGGUGACCGGCCACACUGGGACUGAGACACGGCCCAGACUCCUACGGGAGGCAGCAGUGGGGAAUAUUGCACAAUGGGCGAAAGCCUGAUGCAGCGACGCCGCGUGAGGGAUGAAGGCCUUCGGGUUGUAAACCUCUUUCAGCAGGGACGAAGCGCAAGUGACGGUACCUGCAGAAGAAGCACCGGCUAACUACGUGCCAGCAGCCGCGGUAAUACGUAGGGUGCGAGCGUUGUCCGGAAUUACUGGGCGUAAAGAGUUCGUAGGCGGUUUGUCGCGUCGUUUGUGAAAACCCGGGGCUCAACUUCGGGCUUGCAGGCGAUACGGGCAGACUUGAGUGUUUCAGGGGAGACUGGAAUUCCUGGUGUAGCGGUGAAAUGCGCAGAUAUCAGGAGGAACACCGGUGGCGAAGGCGGGUCUCUGGGAAACAACUGACGCUGAGGAACGAAAGCGUGGGUAGCAAACAGGAUUAGAUACCCUGGUAGUCCACGCCGUAAACGGUGGGCGCUAGGUGUGGGUUCCUUCCACGGAAUCUGUGCCGUAGCUAACGCAUUAAGCGCCCCGCCUGGGGAGUACGGCCGCAAGGCUAAAACUCAAAGGAAUUGAC